CCUACGGGUGGCAGCAGUGAGGAAUAUUGGUCAAUGGACGAAAGUCUGAUCCAGCCAAGUAGCGUGAAGGAUGACUGCCCUAUGGGUUGUAAGCUUCUUUUAUAUGGGAAUAAAAUGUUCCACGUGUGGGAUUUUGUAUGUACCAUAUGAAUAAGGAUCGGCUAACUCCGUGCCAGCAGCCGCGGUAAUACGGAGGAUCCGAGCGUUAUCCGGAUUUAUUGGGUUUAAAGGGAGCGUAGGGGGAUUGUUAAGUCAGUUGUGAAAGUUUGCGGCUCAACCGUAAAAUUGCAGUUGAAACUGGCAGGCUUGAGUACAGUAGAGGUGGGCGGAAUUCGUGGUGUAGCGGUGAAAUGCGUAGAUAUCAGGAAGAACUCCGAUUGCGAAGGCAGCUCACUGGACUGCAACUGACACUGAGGCUCGAAAGUGUGGGGAUCAAACAGGAUUAGAUACCCCAGUAGUC
rnacentral:rRNA from 1 species